AGAGUUUGAUCCUGGCUCAGGACGAACGCUGGCGGCGUGCCUAAUACAUGCAAGUAGAACGCUGAAAUAAGAGCUUGCUCUUAUGGAUGAGUUGCGAACGGGUGAGUAACACGUGGGGAACCUACCUUCUAGCGGGGGAUAACACAUAGAAAUGUGUGCUAAUACCGCAUAAUAGUAUUUGAUGCAUAUCAGAUACUUGAAAGGCGCAAUUGCGUCACUAGAAGAUGGCCCCGCGGUGCAUUAGCUAGUUGGUGAGGUAACGGCUCACCAAGGCAAUGAUGCAUAGCCGACCUGAGAGGGUGAUCGGCCACACUGGGACUGAGACACGGCCCAGACUCCUACGGGAGGCAGCAGUAGGGAAUCUUCGGCAAUGGACGCAAGUCUGACCGAGCAACGCCGCGUGAGUGAAGAAGGUUUUCGGAUCGUAAAACUCUGUUGUAAGAGAAGAACGUUGAUGAGAGUGGAAAGUUCAUCAAGUGACGGUAUCUUACCAGAAAGCCACGGCUAACUACGUGCCAGCAGCCGCGGUAAUACGUAGGUGGCAAGCGUUGUCCGGAUUUAUUGGGCGUAAAGCGAGCGCAGGCGGUUGAUUAAGUCUGAUGUGAAAGCCCCCGGCUCAACCGGGGAGGGUCAUUGGAAACUGGUCAACUUGAGUGCAGAAGAGGAGAGUGGAAUUCCAUGUGUAGCGGUGAAAUGCGUAGAUAUAUGGAGGAACACCAGUGGCGAAGGCGGCUCUCUGGUCUGUAACUGACGCUGAGGCUCGAAAGCGUGGGGAGCGAACAGGAUUAGAUACCCUGGUAGUCCACGCCGUAAACGAUGAGUGCUAAGUGUUGGAGGGUUUCCGCCCUUCAGUGCUGCAGCUAACGGCAUUAAGCACUCCGCCUGGGGAGGUACGACUGCAAGUUGAAACUCAAGGAAUUGACGG
rnacentral:rRNA from 1 species